AGCGAACGCUGGCGGCAGGCCUAACACAUGCAAGUCGAGCGCCCCGCAAGGGGAGCGGCAGACGGGAGAGUAACACGUGGGAACGUACCCUUCAGUUCGGAACAACCCAGGGAAACUUGG
rnacentral:rRNA from 1 species